UUUUUUCUUUUUUUUUUUUUUGAGACAGAGUCUUGCUUUGUCAUCCAGGCUAGAGUACAGUGGUGUGAUCUCGGCUCACUGCAACGUGCUCCCCCCAGGUUCAAGCGAUUCUCCUGCUUCAGCCCCCCGAGUAGCUGGGAUAACAGGUGUGCGCCACCAUGCCUGGCUAAUUUUUGCAUUUUUAGUAGAGAUGGAGUUUCACCAUGCUAGCUGUGCUGGUUUUGAACUCCUGACAUCAGGUGAUCCUCCCGUCUCGGCCUUCCAAAGUUCUGGGAUUAUAGGCAUGUAUGUGUUCAUCCUUUUAAAUAUCUGCGGGUAGCACUUAACUUUAAAUGGGUACUAAUUAAACUAUUGAAUGACUUUAGUAUGGAUUGAAUGACUUUGCUCGGUCCUCAUUUUUAAUUUCCUUCAUUAGAGGAAAAAAAAAAUGCAGGUUGAAUAUCCCUCAUCCAAACUGCUUGGAACCAGAAGUGUCUCAGAUUUUUUUGCAUUUUUGGAUUUUUGAAUAUUUGUAUUAUACUUGCUGGUUGAGCAUCCUGAAUUCAAAAAUCCAGAAUCUGAGCUGCUCCAAUGAACAUUUCUUUGGGCGUCACGUCGGCACUCAAAAUCCACACUUGUGGAUUUCGGUGUUUCUGGUUAGGGAGACUCAUCCUAUAUGGGUGCUGGAUUGUCGCAGGAGUUCUGGACCAGAGGUUAAGUGACUAGGCUUUGGUAUCCGCUUUGUUCCUAACCAGGCUGUUUUCUUCCAUAAGCUCAGCUUUAGAUCCCCUGGUUGUCAAAGAAGGGGAUGGGCCAUCUGAUGUUUAAGGCCUCUGUUAGUUCUGACUUGGAGACACCUGGCUUCAGUUCAUCUUCCUUAGGAGUGGACAAAGAAUAUGGGAAUUUUGAAAUUGUUAGUCAACAUCUACAGGGUCGUUGCAGCCUGGUUUUAGGUAAAGGUCAUCUUUAGUGAGCCCAGGGAGAAGCACUGGUUUAGCUGUCAGCUGAGAGGGGUAAGCGGUCCUAUUAAUUUUUCUCUGUGUUAGUGAAAGCAUUGUUAAGGGUCACAGCAUUAGUGGAGCUGGCUGGAAAGAGGAGGGGAACUCACUGUUACAGGUUAUAUUGAAUGUCUUUUCAGUCACUAAAUGCUUUUUAUGAUAUGUUUUUCAGGAUUUCAGUGUUGUAUGAUUUCUCUGUAUUAAGCACAGGAAAUUUAACAUCAGCAAAAAAGAAUGCUCUUUAUU
rnacentral:lncRNA from 1 species